GGAAAGGAGGGCGUGGCUUCCUGCAUUUGGCGGGGUCUUUGUCUCUCGCUGGCGCUGGCACAGGAGCUUGGGAUCCGUCUCCUCUUUCGCCUCCUCCACCUUGGGAGCCCCGGGCUACUCUCUCACAGCCCUUGUUGCCCUGUGAUCUGAAGGUCCUUGGGGACGCAUAGUUAAGGUGCCAGGACAUCCUGGAAGCUGGGAAAUGUGUGAAGAUUUCUUCCAGACCAUGGCUGGAGAAGGAAAGAAGGUGUGUUUUGCCUGAUUCAGGGACUAUAGAGAGAACCAAGUUCUGCAGGCCUGUCACCUAAGUCUCAGGGCGGAGAGACCUUCCUUCCCCACGGGUUUGAGACUAUGGCUAAGUGGUGAGCCUUGGGGAGAUGCAGAAAGGAUCCAUCCCAGGCACUUGGCUAGAGGGCAAGAAAGCUUUCUAAGACCCCGAACUCCAGAUAUGCGAUGGGGCAAAUCCUGAAGUGUACAUGGCUAUCUCUCACAGCUAAAGCAUCCCUCACCCCUAUCCAGCGCUUCUUACCCCUGGCGCAAGAGAAUCACCUGCGGGGAGGAAAACUUUCAAAAUCCCUUAAACUGAAGUUGUAACCGCUCAAUUAAAUCAGAAUCCUUGGAGCUGGAUCUGAAAAAAAAUAUGGUUGAAAGUUGUGCAGGUGAUUACAAUGUGUAGGCAAGCCACAAAACCAUGGCUUUAACCAGGAGCUUUUGUUAGAAAUGAUUUCUCAAAUGAAUGUAAAAACGUUUGCUGCUGAAUUGUGACCUUUCAAUUUUACCUGCUUUUCUUGCAAAGUAUAUUUUGCAGACCCAGGCAGUGCUGCUCCCUCUGUUCCUGAUUCACCCAGUACUGUGUGUGCUCAGUGCAUCCUGUGCACGGAUCAUUGUGUGCCCUGGCCUGGGUGAGCAUCAUUCUUCGGGGAGAACCUUUCUGAAAACAAAGCUGCAUUCCAAAAAGUUAAAACCAUGCUACUUACAGUGUUGAAGUAAAAAUUAAAAGACCCAGGGGGGCUCACCCAAAAGUUAAAACAUAAAUAAAUAACUUGGAACAUUAACAUACACCUGAUGAUGUCCUGAGUGAACACGCCCCACUUUAAAACAAAACAAAACAUUGCUAUUAUUCUAAAAUAUUAAUUUAAGAUUGUUAUGCAAAUAUGUACUCUUUAAAUUUUUAUUGAUGUAUAACAUGCAUACAGCAAUAUAGGCACAAAACAUUUAGGGAAUGCUUGAUGAAUUAUUACUAAAUAAGUGCACUUGUGUAUAUAAGAAUCAGAUUUGUUCAUGCCCUUGACACUUUCUCCUUCCCAAAGGUAACCAAGAUCUUAAGAUCUAAGUGCAGAUAAACUUUGUCAUUUUCUACAAGUGUUUUAUUACAGAUCAUUAAAAAAGUAUACACAAUACAAAAAAAGUAUAACAGACCAGUCACCCAGCUUUAACAGCUACUAGUCAUUGUCAUUUUUGUUUUAUCUAUACUUCCAGCCAUGCCCCCACCCCCAAUUUCAUUAUUGUUUUUAGGCUUUUUGGAUAAAGCGUAUAUUCAUUGCAAGGUACAAUGCCAACUGUAAAUAGUAGAGAGAUGGGGUUUUGCCAUGUUGGCCAGGCUGGUCUUGAACUCCUGACCUCAGGUGAUCCACUCUCUUCAGCCUCACAAAGUGCUGGGAUUACAGGCGUGAGCCAAUAUACUCGGCCUGAGAAUUCAUAUUUCUAACAAAGUACAAAUCCAUAGGGCACAUGACAACUGCAAUGUCUAUCCACAGUAAAUACGGUUUGAUGAAUAAAUUGAAAGGCAAUUGACUUAAGGUGGGAAAAAAAAACAAUCAAAGCAUGGGUACUAUGUGCCAUCUGUAGGAGCAUUUUGUUAAGAAUGACAAACAAACCAAUUUUAUUGUUUUAAUAACCGAAAUUGGCAAAAUUUCUAGUUUUUCUUUCAUAGGAAUGCUCUUAGCAAGAAAAAAUUUUCAUAUGGUGAGAGCAAAAAUGACAACCAUUUGCAAGUAAAUGUCUUAUGAAAUUAAGUAGCAGAUAUCAAGCUCAUGACCUUCAGAUAGUUACCCCUAACUCAAUCAUUUACAUAGCAAGUGCAGAUAAUUUUCAUAGCUCCCUAUUACAAUUAUAUUUUACUCCCCUUACAAAUUGUGACUGUUUUUAAAUAAAGUUCACUAACUAAAAUUUUGUAUAUGACAUAUGAUAAAUUCCCCUUCAAGUAACCUUAUAUUUACUUAAUUGUGUUAGCCAGUGUCUCUCUACCACCCGAUAAUACUUUGGGAUUCUCCCUCCAUUUGCACAGGCAUCAUAGCUGGGAAACAGGGAUUCAAAAGACCCAGGCUGUUCCCUACAUAUGUUUCCUCCUCCGACAUCAGUUCAUCAGUCAACCAAGUCAAGUGAGAGUGGAGGCCAUGUAUUCCCUCUUAUUCUUGGGCACUCUCCUCCAAGGAGGAAAAGGCCAGGAGGUCCUGUUAGAGGAUGCACUCUGAGAGCCCGGGCUCCCUAAGGUGUGAGAGUUCUAAACAGCAGGUGUAGACUUUCAGGAGUGAGGAAUGAGGCAGGCAUUCCAAACCUGAAGCUUCAUCACCUUUUGUUUCAUCUCAAGACAAUUCUGAAGGGCUGUUUUGGAGCGUGUCUGGAAGGUGAACGUUGAAGAAGAGUGUGGGCUUUGAUGUGACUCAGAUGAGAUCUUUCAUGGGGAGGCAGGAAUUCAAUGCCCAGAAUCUGGGCUGGUGUCUUUGAGGUCAGUAGGUUGCGUCUUUGUAUCCAAGUCCGUUGUUACUAGGUUGGAGGCUGGAGAUUCUAAAUGGCUUCCAGACCGCCUCUCUGAUUCUCUUUGGGAGAUGGGGUCUGAAAAAGACAAUGUCAGUAUUUUGGGGAAAUUCUAGAAAGUCUGCUUGGAAACCUCGGAUGACCUCUUGCCUAGUGCCUAAAUGCUCAAUGUGCAGCUCUAGCCACGUAGAUGCUUGGUAGAUAUAGAGCUGGGUUUCCAUUUAUAUCAGCAAAACCUAUGUCAGAGUUGAAGAAGUAGUCAAGAAAAAGUGUCUGGGUUGCAGGCCGGGGAACAUCUUAAAAGCAAACUUCUAGCCUGCUGACUCUUGGCAAUGAGUGUUGGGUCCUGGCCAAAGUGCCUUGAAAGCAGCAUGAGUCCAAUCCAUGGAUCCAACUUCUAAUGGAGAAAUGUUAAUAUGUUUUCAGUUUGAAUCAAUCAGGGUGAAAUUACCUUGCUAUUGGUUUGCUUACUUUUUAUUGUUUCAUAUAAAAUCUAUGACUAAAUACAUUAAAUACUUAUUGA